CACUAUCGUUAACUGAAUACAUAGGUUAACGAGGCGAACCGGGGGAACUGAAACAUCUAAGUACCCCGAGGAAAAGAAAUCAACCGAGAUUCCCCCAGUAGCGGCGAGCGAACGGGGAGCAGCCCAGAGUCUGAAUCAGCUUGUGUGUUAGUGGAACGGUCUGGAAAGUCCGACGGUACAGGGUGAUAGUCCCGUACACCAAAAUGCACAGGCUGUGAACUCGAAGAGUAGGGCGGGACACGUGGUAUCCUGUCUGAAUAUGGGGGGACCAUCCUCCAAGGCUAAAUACUCCUGACUGACCGAUAGUGAACCAGUACCGUGAGGGAAAGGCGAAAAGAACCCCGGCGAGGGGAGUGAAAAAGAACCUGAAACCGUGUACGUACAAGCAGUGGGAGCACCUUCGGGUGUGACUGCGUACCUUUUGUAUAAUGGGUCAGCGACUUAUAUUCUGUAGCAAGGUUAACCGUAUAGGGGAGCCGCAGGGAAACCGAGUCUUAACUGGGCGUUAAGUUGCAGGGUAUAGACCCGAAACCCGGUGAUCUAGCCAUGGGCAGGUUGAAGGUUGGGUAACACUAACUGGAGGACCGAACCGACUAAUGUUGAAAAAUUAGCGGAUGACUUGUGGCUGGGGGUGAAAGGCCAAUCAAACCGGGAGAUAGCUGGUUCUCCCCGAAAGCUAUUUAGGUAGCGCCUCGUGAAUUCAUCUUCGGGGGUAGAGCACUGUUUCGGCUAGGGGGUCAUCCCGACUUACCAACCCGAUGCAAACUACGAAUACCGAAGAAUGUUAUCACGGGAGACACACGGCGGGUGCUAACGUCCGUCGUGAAGAGGGAAACAACCCAGACCGCCAGCUAAGGUCCCAAAGUCAUGGUUAAGUGGGAAACGAUGUGGGAAGGCACAGACAGCCAGGAUGUUGGCUUAGAAGCAGCCAUCAUUUAAAGAAAGCGUAAUAGCUCACUGGUCGAGUCGGCCUGCGCGGAAGAUGUAACGGGGCUAAACCAUGCACCGAAGCUGCGGCAGCGACACUAUGUGUUGUUGGGUAGGGGAGCGUUCUGUAAGCCUGCGAAGGUGUGCUGUGAGGCAUGCUGGAGGUAUCAGAAGUGCGAAUGCUGACAUAAGUAACGAUAAAGCGGGUGAAAAGCCCGCUCGCCGGAAGACCAAGGGUUCCUGUCCAACGUUAAUCGGGGCAGGGUGAGUCGACCCCUAAGGCGAGGCCGAAAGGCGUAGUCGAUGGGAAACAGGUUAAUAUUCCUGUACUUGGUGUUACUGCGAAGGGGGGACGGAGAAGGCUAUGUUAGCCGGGCGACGGUUGUCCCGGUUUAAGCAUGUAGGCUGGUUGUCCAGGCAAAUCCGGAUAAUCAAGGCUGAGGUGUGAUGACGAGGCACUACGGUGCUGAAGUAACAAAUGCCCUGCUUCCAGGAAAAGCCUCUAAGCAUCAGGUAACAUCAAAUCGUACCCCAAACCGACACAGGUGGUCAGGUAGAGAAUACCAAGGCGCUUGAGAGAACUCGGGUGAAGGAACUAGGCAAAAUGGUGCCGUAACUUCGGGAGAAGGCACGCUGGUGUGUAGGUGAAGUCCCUGCGGAUGGAGCUGAGACCAGUCGAAGAUACCAGCUGGCUGCAACUGUUUAUUAAAAACACAGCACUGUGCAAACACGAAAGUGGACGUAUACGGUGUGACGCCUGCCCGGUGCCGGAAGGUUAAUUGAUGGGGUUAUCCGUAAGGAGAAGCUCUUGAUCGAAGCCCCGGUAAACGGCGGCCGUAACUAUAACGGUCCUAAGGUAGCGAAAUUCCUUGUCGGGUAAGUUCCGACCUGCACGAAUGGCGUAAUGAUGGCCAGGCUGUCUCCACCCGAGACUCAGUGAAAUUGAACUCGCUGUGAAGAUGCAGUGUACCCGCGGCAAGACGGAAAGACCCCGUGAACCUUUACUAUAGCUUGACACUGAACAUUGAGCCUUGAUGUGUAGGAUAGGUGGGAGGCUUUGAAGCGUGGACGCCAGUCUGCGUGGAGCCAACCUUGAAAUACCACCCUUUAAUGUUUGAUGUUCUAACGUUGGCCCCUUACCGGGGUUGCGGACAGUGUCUGGUGGGUAGUUUGACUGGGGCGGUCUCCUCCCAAAGCGUAACGGAGGAGCACGAAGGUUAGCUAAUCCUGGUCGGACAUCAGGAGGUUAGUGCAAUGGCAUAAGCUAGCUUGACUGCGAGCGUGACGGCGCGAGCAGGUGCGAAAGCAGGUCAUAGUGAUCCGGUGGUUCUGAAUGGAAGGGCCAUCGCUCAACGGAUAAAAGGUACUCCGGGGAUAACAGGCUGAUACCGCCCAAGAGUUCAUAUCGACGGCGGUGUUUGGCACCUCGAUGUCGGCUCAUCACAUCCUGGGGCUGAAGUAGGUCCCAAGGGUAUGGCUGUUCGCCAUUUAAAGUGGUACGCGAGCUGGGUUUAGAACGUCGUGAGACAGUUCGGUCCCUAUCUGCCGUGGGCGCUGGAGAAUUGAGGGGGGCUGCUCCUAGUACGAGAGGACCGGAGUGGACGCAUCACUGGUGUUCGGGUUGUCAUGCCAAUGGCACUGCCCGGUAGCUAAAUGCGGAAGAGAUAAGUGCUGAAAGCAUCUAAGCACGAAACUUGCCCCGAGAUGAGUUCUCCCUGAGACUUUAAGUCUCCUGAAGGAACGUUGAAGACGACGACGUUGAUAGGCCGGGUGUGUAAGCGCAGCGAUGCGUUGAGCUAACCGGUACUAAUGAACCGUGAGGCUUAACCUU
rnacentral:rRNA from 2 species